GAAAUGCGAUAAGUAAUGUGAAUUGCAGAAUUCCGUGAAUCAUCGAAUCUUUGAACGCACAUUGCGCCCUCUGGUAUUCCGGGGGGCAUGCCUGUCCGAGCGUCAUUGGGAACCCCUCAAGCACGGCUUGUGUGAUGGGCCCUCCCGCGUCUUGGUCGUCAAGACGGGCCCGAAAAGCAGUGGCGGCUUCGCGGUUAUCCGAUCAGCCAGAGCGUAUGGGGACUUUCUCUCUGUCACACGCCCGCGGCGCGGACCGACGCCUGUCGACCUUUAUUCAUCUUUUUCUCGGUUGACCUCGGAUCAGGUAGGGAUACCCGCUGAACUUAAGC
rnacentral:misc_RNA from 1 species